rnacentral:siRNA from 1 species
GUAGAAAUAAACCUGAGGUUCC